ensembl:lncRNA
AUAUAAGGUAGCAAGUACCAAAUACAUGUUUCAAAUAAAUAUUACACCAUACUGCUGCUGUUGUUCUUUCAAUAAGCAAAUUUAAAGGGUAUACAAUAAAUGAAACACCAAACGAACAUAUAAUAAUAAACCUUUGUUUUUAUCAAAAGUAAAUCAUGACACCACAUAAAAUAUAAAAAGGUGUAACAAUAAAUAAUAAAAUACAGUAACAAACUGACUCCAAUAAUGUUUUUCCACAUCAUGCUAAAGUUUUACAGAUUAUGAGACGUUCACACUUUCCAUAAAGGACUGAUUAUGGUUCUUUUGCAUUGCAAACAUGAUACUUGACUCUGAACUGCUGCUAAUCAUUAUUCUUUUGUCUAUAAUAUUCUGACCAUUGGUGCCCAUCUCACACCUAGAUUGCCUACACAUCGUUGUUGUGUUUAGGGGAUAGGCUUGAGCAUUGCGACACAUGUUUACAUUAAUCUACACCCGCCUCCAGCAGCGCGGGGGUGUCGGAAUGUUCGAAAACAGUAUACCGUCGCUCAGCCUUUUCAAACUUCUUUUUGCCCCCAAACGAAGAACGAAAACGAACUUCACAGACGUAUAUUAGAUGUCUUUAAGAUGUUUAUGAUUUAGAAUGUAUGUAAAACGGACAUCUGAAAGACAUCUGUCAGACGUUUGUACACAGUAGAUGCUUUCCAGAUCAAGCAAUCUUUAACAGACAUCUUGCAGACGUACGUGUGCUAUCUGGGAUGGAAGGCAGCACAAGGAAACAGAAUACAAACAAAGUAUGUCAUAGAAUGACAUUUUAUAUAUGUAAAAAAGUAAUUAAUUGUUCACAGCAGUCGUGAUUCCCUUCAGUGGCUUUAUUGGAAAGUCAAUCAGAGUUCAUCUUUUUAUAUUUCUGUUCUGGAUCAGACGCUGUAUUUUUCUGUUGCCACACAGGAAAGAAAAUGUGCACUAAGCCGAGCAUUUCAUCACAAGCAGCUAAAAGCUGUCCUGUUGUGUCUUCAUGUCAGUGAAGUGUGAAGUCACACUAUGCAUUGACUGCAGGUGGUCUUGUGGUAGUUUUCACACUAACGCGGCUACACCUGAGCGUACAAACACUCCUCCUGUGUUUUAUACGGCUGCUGUUGAACAAUUUUGUUGGUGAACAUCACUUCUCCAUAAUGAAGCUCUUGCUCUUGCUCCUUCUUCUCCUGAGGGCCCGUCGAGGCAUUUUCCAC